CUGAGCUACAAUCAUCCAGGAGACUCAGGAGGGAAGCUGUUGGUUGCUGGACUGGAGGAUCCACACUGGAGACUGGACACACUCAGGAUGGACCAUGGUGGAGAGCACAGGGUAAAGAAGUAUUUCUGUGAACUCACACUGGACACAAAC